UACGUAGGGUGCAAGCGUUAAUCGGAAUUACUGGGCGUAAAGCGUGCGCAGGCGGUUUUGUAAGUCUGUCGUGAAAGCCCCGGGCUCAACCUGGGAAUUGCGAUGGAGACUGCAAGGCUUGAAUCUGGCAGAGGGGGGGUAGAAUUCCACGUGUAGCAGUGAAAUGCGUAGAGAUGUGGAGGAACACCGAUGGCGAAGGCAGCCCCCUGGGUCAAGAUUGACGCUCAUGCACGAAAGCGUGGGGAGCAAAC
rnacentral:rRNA from 1 species